UGGGGGAUCGUCCAGCGGCAGGACACAUGGCUCUGGACCAUGGAACCGGGGUUCGAAUCCCUGUCCCCCAG
rfam:Candidate division Zixibacteria bacterium SM23_73_2 WORSMTZ_84762, whole genome shotgun sequence.